GACGGAGGAUGCAAGCGUUAUCCGGAAUGAUUGGGCGUAAAGCGUCCGCAGGUGGUUUUUCAAGUCUGCUGUUAAAGACCGGGGCUUAACUCCGGGCAGGCAGUGGAAACUGAAAGACUAGAGUAUGGUAGGGGCAGAGGGAAUUCCUGGUGUAGCGGUGAAAUGCGUAGAGCUCAGGAAGAACAUCGGUGGCGAAGGCGCUCUGCUAGGCCAAAACUGACACUCAGGGACGAAAGCUAGGGGAGCGAAUGGG
rnacentral:rRNA from 1 species